rnacentral:lncRNA from 1 species
CGAAGUUCUAAGACCCCCCACAUGUUGUGAAUUUGGUUGGAGUAAAGAUCUAAGGGUCCAUACUGGGCUAUAAAAAUAGUGUAGUACUUGAGCAGUACUGUAAAAAUGGCAAUUAUAAAUAAUUAUGAGUGUUGAGGAGGUAAUAUGAACACUCAAGUUCAAAGCAGUAAAAUAAAAAUUAAAAAAAAAAGACAGACUUAGGUAAGCCAUCUAUCAACUCGGAGAAUGCUGAUGCUUUGUUGAAAGAGAGCUUUGUCUUACAAAUUAGGCACUUAUAAAACAACAGGCUAUUGGGUUUGGAGUGAAUUCUCAGAAACAUCACUACUGACAUAACUCCAUAAAGAAUUCAUAAUUUCUACUCACAUGUUUUACCCACAUCAAUAACAGAAUCUCAGGAAAACCAAAGUGGAGUUUACAAUGUUCAUUUUGACACUGUGCAUUAGACUUCUCGACUUCAAGCUACAAAAACCAGCACAGAACCUGGAAAAAUUUUACCUCCUGGCAUUUUUGUUUCUCUACCCUGAUGCUUGUUGUUGAGUUUUACCCAUGCUUUGACCAUCAGCAAAUUGAAGA